UUGUUUAUUUUGUAUAAGACUCAGAUGGUACUAAAACAGCUAGAGUUUUGGUUGGCCGGCGGCAGGCACCCCCCGCGAAGGGGGCGAGGCUCUGUCCCACAGGGCUGCCUGCCGAAGCACGUUGGACGGGUAGGUAAACAGUGGGUUGGGAGUUGUUACACUCUCGUAAUGAUCCCUCCGCUGGUUCACCAACGGAGA
rnacentral:misc_RNA from 1 species